CGGACACGGUGCGCGUGCGGGAUGCGUGGCCUUCUUUCAUUAUCUAUAACGACUCUCGGCAACGGAUAUCUCGGCUCUCGCAUCGAUGAAGAACGUAGCGAAAUGCGAUACUUGGUGUGAAUUGCAGAAUCCCGUGAACCAUCGAGUCUUUGAACGCAAGUU
rnacentral:rRNA from 1 species